CUUCCUUCCUCAGGAACAAGAUGUUCAUCUAUAGGGGAAGGAGUACGAGAGGAGAGAGGACUUUGAGGCCAGACUGCUCACCCAGUUCCCCAACGCGGACAAGAUGAAGACGACCACGCCGCCCGGCGACGACAUCAAGACCUCUUCCUCACAGUACAUCCAGUGUUUCACCGUCAAGCCUGUUCUAGAACUCCUUCAAAGUUCCAGAACAAACCCGUCUCUGAGCAGAUCGUCAG